CAGUAAAGAUUAAAUGUGCUUCUCAAAGGCAGCCACUUCAUGCUGCUAUGUCGAAAGGGCCAUUAUUAUUAUUAUAUUUUAAUGGUAAAAGAGAAAAGGAGAGAGGUUGAGCGAGCGAGAGAGAAGCUAGGUGUGAUGAUGACAGACUAGCUUUUCUGAGAGGAAAAGGAAAAGGGAAGGGAGAGAAAAAGGAGAGCCUCUGAGCUCAACGGAGGAUUGUGCCUGAGAAGAACCCACAGAGGCCUGGAAUAAAAGAAGAACAAGAAGAAGAAAGAAAUGAAAUGAAAAACAGAAAGAAAAAGGAGAAGAAACAUUUGUAAAAGGGUCAUCUUCCCAUCUGCCUCCCCUCCUUUUCCUUUCAUUUUUGGUGGCGGCACAGGAAAGCCCCACUUCCAGUCUGAUGAGGAAAGCGACAAUCUAUCAGGUACAGAACCAGGGGCUGUCUGCGAAGAUGGAGGGGAAUUAUGCUUCGGAUUCCUCUGAAAUAUUGGCCAAAGGCUUCAAAGAAUCCGCAGCGGGAGGUGCGGGGGGAAUGUCUCUCCCCAGCCCGCACCCAGCCCUUCCCACUUCGUGUCUACCAAAUGACAGCCUGGUGCUCGCUCUUGGUGAUUUGGCCUUGACUUCAGCCAAGCAGCUGAUGCAGACGAAGCCUCCGUUUGCAGGACUGGCAAAGUGCACGCUAAAGAAAGAAGGAAGAAAUUUUUCAAAAAGCAGCUCUGGGGAGGUUUCAUACUCCCCCCCCCCCCCCGCCUUUUUUUAAUUUUUAAGUGAAUAUUUUCCAAAUUUGAUCAGUUCCAGCCCCUCCCUCCACUCCCACCCAACUGCCCUUUUUUCUCUCGUCAAAGCAUAAGCUACAGAGUUACAGUCUCGAGAUUUGGUGUAUCGCUUCCUGCCCCCGCCUCCCCUCCCCGCCCCCGUUCUCCGUCCUCUAUUGAAACACCUCGCCCAGCCUAGCGCACUGAGAGCUCUCAUUUUCCCCCCUUGCUCGGGAUGGUGCCACAGGAGGCUGUGCGGGCCCCGCUCCGCUUCGAAUGGUUGUGUUGAUGUUCCUUUCAGCUGGUCCUAUAGUACCCCUCCUCAGGAAUGUCUCCCCAGUGCAAGGACAAAGACUGAAGAGACUGCUAUAUUGAUGGACUCUCAAGCCAACUAUGAAGUUGAAACAAAGAAAGUGAUCACCUGAAGACACCUCCUCUGCUAAGAAACACCCCCAAAUUGUGCAGCUUCUGCCACUAGAACUCUCAGAACAAGAGACAAUCUUUUCAAGAAACAGAAAAACUCAAUAAUGACAUCUAGAUUUUCAUGAGCCAAGAACUUUCCCUUCCUCAUGUGUAUUCCUCUGUUUGUACUUAAAUUCAUGUGACAUUCAUUUUUUUCCUAGUAUGGAUAUGCUUAUUAAUGCACUUGUUUCAAAAUCCCAAAUUGCACAAAUGUGUUAAUAUUUUAAGAAACAAAAUGAAUCCUACAAGGAGAAUGAUUUUUAGCCACACAUAGGGUUGGAUCUUGAGAGUGACCUACAGAAUAAAAGUACUUUUAAAAUAAAGUAGUCAGAGGCUAUUCAAAGGGUAAAAUAAUCAUAGUACCACAUUGGUCCACUUGACACUAACCAAUCGAUCAUUUUUUUUUAAUCAAGAAAGCUAGAUUCUAUCAGAUAAAAUCACUGCUUCUAAAGAGUUUAAAUCUAGUUAGAAAAAGUUAUAGAAAUGUUUGCAAAGAUAAGUAACAGAUAGAGUCAGUAGAGGAUAAGAUCAAAAACAAAACCAAGCAAAAGAUGAGUUCAGGGGAGUUUGCCAUCAAGUUGGCAAAACUGACUUACUUAGGGAAGAAAGUUAUAAAACAGGAAAAUAUGAGAUGAACCUUGAGUGAUGUGGAAGAUUUAGAUAAAUGGAAAGGAAGGAGAAAAUGGAGUUCUUUAGGUGGUUGUAAUUGGAGGAGGAAAUGAAUACACACAUCUUGUUGACUUAAACCCAGACAUUCAGCAGCUCUCUAUACAUAUCUGGAAAAGACUGCACAGUCACCUCCUGUCUCUCACCCCAGGUAUUACUUAGAAUUAUUAUCAUAUUUCCCUUCCUUUAAAGUAAGUAAGGGUGAUUGGUGACAAUAUGGAGAACUAUGAUUUUUCCAUUAACCUAAUAAUAAUUGGUAUUUAUUGAGUUCUGUUAAGCAUUUUACAUAUUAACUCACUUAAGCCUUUCAACAGCCUUGCAAAAUAGGUAUUAUUAUCCCCAUUUUACAGGCAAGAAAACUGAGGUUUAAGUAACUUGCCGAAGUGCCAUAUACAGGGCUCACAUUCAGUAUUGCAGUUGCAAAGCUCAUGAUCUAUAGUGCCAAGUUGCAAUAUUGUAGUCAAUGUCACAAUUAUUACCCCUUUUUAUAUUCCUUGAUAUUUUUCCAUGGCAAACAAUUAGCUAUUUCAUUUAAUAAUCACCUAAAACUUUUCAGUCUUCUGAUUAAAAUUACGCUGGAGUGAUAGAAUGUAUUUUCAUGAUAGAAAUUGGGAAAAAAAAUGGGGAAUGAAGUUUAUCAGCAUUUCAGACUUGUUUUUUUUUUUUUUUUUUGCAAGACUUUGAUGAGAUUGUUCACUUUUGUCUAUGUAAAAUCCCAAAUCCUUGAGAAUAAAAAAGGGGGAGGUUUAAGUCACUUGUUGCAAUGCCCUUUUUAAUAGAGGCAAUAAAUCUAAAGGCCAUAAAUUUAGAGUGACUUACAGAAGAUCGAACUUUGGAGUGUGGCAGAGUAAGGGAUGGAAACCGGGCCCUCCAGUUCACUAUCAGUAGCUUUUGCACUGGUCUGCCCUUCCUAAAUUAAGUAUGCACUUCAAUUUGAUGAGUGGAAACAGUCUAUCUGGGCAGUAACCAGGGAGCUUUGUGCCUAGUAGAUUGCUUCUGUUCUGCACUUCUUUGGUUUCCCACCUCAAUGUAAAAAAUAGCUAGCAAUGAAGUCCAGAAGUUGUCAAUGGUUCAUCCCCAGAAGAAUGCAUAAUGUCCAAAGUUGUAUGUGUAUGAUGUCUUCAAUGGUAUUAAGUUAUUUCAAAUUCUUAGUUCACCUACAUAAAUCAUUUCUAACAAGCAUCUUCUUAACCAACUUUAUGCACAGUGUAUGUUUGUAAGUGCUUCUGCACGAAUGUUUAUACAUGACUGUUUCCAUAGUACUUAUGUUUUUAAAAAUAUUCAGUCAUUUCCUACUAUAAUCCUCAUGUAUCCAUGUAACUGACUCAAAAAUACUUCAGCCACAGAAAGCUAAAACUGAGCAAAUCUCAUUCUUCUUUUCCAUCCCCUUUGCAUGUGGCUGGCAUUUAGUAAUGAUUAAUAAUAUGGCCAGCUGAAUAACAGAGGUUUGAGACACAAUUCUUUCUCAAAGGAGUCAGCUAAGCUGGGUCUACUUAUGGACAAACAUCUAAAUGUGUGGAAGUAUCUGAUAUUUGACAAUGGUAAAUUUCCACUUAGCUAGCUAGCAUUGUCAGACUUCAAUCUCCUCAUGGCUCUGGCCGUCCUGUUUUAAGCAUGAUAAUUGUUGGCCACAUCUCACAUAGUUCUCAUUGAGUGAGUUCAUAAAUAAACAGGGUUUUUUUUUUUUUUUAAAGAGCAGCCAAGCACAAAGUGUGACUUUGUUGACAUUUUAUGUGACUUUGUCAUAUGUUCCUAACCCCCAAUAAAAGCAAUGUUGCAUCAACUGUGAA
rnacentral:lncRNA from 1 species